UGGGCUGCGAAGUCCGACUCUGCCACCUCCUCGUGGUGCAGCCUGGUAACAUCAUCUAGUGAUGAUGGCCAAGAGCAGAGUGGUUGUUAUGAGUGUCUGAUUCUCAGUGAACUCAGCAUUCAUUGGCCUUCAGGUCUUGAUCUUUGCUCUCUGUGAGCAAUCACCCUGCCUCCGCCCUGCCUCUGUUCCCUGUGAGCAAUCUGCCAUCAUAGAAGAAGAUAAUGAACUUGAAUGAGAGAUUGAAACAAUUCUUGAUGAUAGAAUCAACCAUCACUGCUGUGAAUACUUUGUCAAAUGAGUAGAAUAUGAUCAUUCAAUCUGGGAAUCUGCAUCUGUCAUAGAGGACACUGCCGCCCUCGACAUCUAUGAGUCAUCACUCACUCUGGUAGAGGGGGAUAAUAUGAUGGGUUAGCAUCUGUUAGUAGUUAACUUACACAAUCAACUCCUUUCUUCUGCAUCUACUUAUCUCUGUUAUUGCAUUUCACAUUUGUGUAGCCUCUAACAAUUCUUCUGUGUAAUUUCUUCUGCUUUAUAUUUCACACUCAUAUAGUUCUAAUGAUUCUUCUGUGUAACUCUCAAUGUUCUUCCACUCUGUGCUUUACUCUGUGCUCCACUGUGGAGUGGCUUUUGAUAUUCUUUCACUCUGAUCUUCUCUCUAUAAGAACCCUCUUCAUAUGAGCUUUUCUUCUGAUCUCUUUUCUCUUUCUUUUCUUAAUCAAUUCAUAAUCUGUAUGGAGGAUCCUCUCAAAAGUUUUGAUUAGCGUUAUCCAUUAAUUUACCACUAUAUUGGCUAGCAAGCGUCACCACUGUAUGAGAAUGUAAAAAAACAACCCCUCAUUCUAUUUAUAUGAGAUUCUCUGCUUAUUGCAAUGUUUCUCACUUUCUUCUUUCUCAAGAUCAUGGCUUCUAAUACUGAUAUUGCCACAAGAGCUCUUGUGGUUGCUUUUAAAUCCUCUUACAUUGACAAAUUCACUGUUGAAAUCAGUGAAAUCACUUCUCUUUCUAUUCAACAAAUCAAUUGAAUC
rnacentral:sRNA from 1 species